rnacentral:tRNA from 1 species
GGCCCUGUGGCCUAAUGGAUAAGGCGAUUUCGGAUCAGAAGAUUGCAGUUUCGAAUCCUGCCACGGUCG